AUUGAACGCUGGCGGCAGGCUUAACACAUGCAAGUCGAGCGAGCGGCGGACGGGUGAGUAAUGUCUGGGAAACUGCCUGAUGGAGGGGGAUAACUACUGGACACGGUAGCUAAUACCGCAUACCAUCAGAUGUGCCCAGAUGGGAUUAGCUCGUAGGUGGGGUAACGGCUCCCCUAGGCGACGAUCCCUAGCUGGUCUGAGCGGAUGACCAGCCAGACUGUAACGGAGACACGGUCCAGACGCCUACGGUAGGCAGCAGUGGGGAAUAUUGCACAAGGGGCGCAAGCCUGAUGCAGCCAUGCCGCGUGUAUGAAGAAGGCCUUCGGGUUGUAAAGUACUUGCAGCGAGGAGGCGUUACUCGCAGAAGAUGCACCGGCUAACUCCGUGCCAGCAGCCGCGGUAAUAC
rnacentral:rRNA from 1 species